GCAAGUCGAGCGGACAGAUGGGAGCUUGCUCCCUGAUGUUAGCGGCGGACGGGUGAGUAACACGUGGGUAACCUGCCUGUAAGACUGGGAUAACUCCGGGAAACCGGGGCUAAUACCGGAUGGUUGUUUGAACCGCAUGGUUCAAACAUAAAAGGUGGCUUCGGCUACCACUUACAGAUGGACCCGCGGCGCAUUAGCUAGUUGGUGAGGUAAUGGCUCACCAAGGCAACGAUGCGUAGCCGACCUGAGAGGGUGAUCGGCCACACUGGGACUGAGACACGGCCCACACUCCUACGGGAGGCAGCAGUAGGGAAUCUUCCGCAAUGGACGAAAGUCUGACGGAGCAACGCCGCGUGAGUGAUGAAGGUUUUCGGAUCGUAAAGCUCUGUUGUUAGGGAAGAACAAGUACCGUUCGAAUAGGGCGGUACCUUGACGGUACCUAACCAGAAAGCCACGGCUAACUACGUGCCAGCAGCCGCGGUAAUACGUAGGUGGCAAGCGUUGUCCGGAAUUAUUGGGCGUAAAGGGCUCGCAGGCGGUUUCUUAAGUCUGAUGUGAAAGCCCCCGGCUCAACCGGGGAGGGUCAUUGGAAACUGGGGAACUUGAGUGCAGAAGAGGAGAGUGGAAUUCCACGUGUAGCGGUGAAAUGCGUAGAGAUGUGGAGGAACACCAGUGGCGAAGGCGACUCUCUGGUCUGUAACUGACGCUGAGGAGCGAAAGCGUGGGGAGCGAACAGGAUUAGAUACCCUGGUAGUCCACGCCGUAAACGAUGAGUGCUAAGUGUUAGGGGGUUUCCGCCCCUUAGUGCUGCAGCUAACGCAUUAAGCACUCCGCCCUGGGGAGUACGGUCGCAAGACUGAAACUCAAAAGGAAUUUGACGGGGGCCCGCACAAGCGGUGGAAGCAUGUGGUUUAAUUCGAAGCAACGCGAAAGAACCUUACCAGGUCUUGACAUCCUCUGACAAUCCUAGAGAUAGGGACGUCCCCUUCGGGGGCAGAGUGACAGGUGGUGCAUGGUUGUCGUCAGCCUUCGUGUCGUGAGAUGUUGGGUUAAGUCCCGCAACGAGCGCAACCCUUGAUCUUAGUUGCCAGCAUUCAGUUGGGCACUCUAAGGUGACUGCCGGUGACAAACCGGAGGAAGGUGGGGAUGACGUCAAAUCAUCAUGCCCCUUAUGACCUGGGCUACACACGUGCUACAAUGGACAGAACAAAGGGCAGCGAAACCGCGAGGUUAAGCCAAUCCCACAAAUCUGUUCUCAGUUCGGAUCGCAGUCUGCAACUCGACUGCGUGAAGCUGGAAUCGCUAGUAAUCGCGGAUCAGCAUGCCGCGGUGAAUACGUUCCCGGGCCUUGUACACACCGCCCGUCACACCACGAGAGUUUGUAACACCCGAAGUCGGUGAGGUAACCU
rnacentral:rRNA from 2 species